rnacentral:ncRNA from 2 species
CUCUUAUCCGGAGUGGUGGAGGGACUAGCCCGAUGAAACCCGGCAACCAGCUAAGCUCGCUAUGAUAUUCAUGGCUGGCACAAGCAUGGUGCUAAUUCUUGCAGGAGAUUCUUCUGGCAGAUAAGAG